rnacentral:misc_RNA from 1 species
GAAAUGCGAUAAGUAAUGUGAAUUGCAGAAUUCAGUGAAUCAUCGAAUCUUUGAACGCACAUUGCGCCCAUUAGUAUUCUAGUGGGCAUGCCUGUUCGAGCGUCAUUUCAACCCUUAAGCCUAGCUUAGUGUUGGGAAUCUGUCCGCAAGGACAGUUCCUCAAAUCCAACGGCGGAUCUGUGGUAUCCUCUGAGCGUAGUAAAUCUUUAUCUCGCUUUUGUCAGGUGCCGCUGCUCUCAGCCGCUAAACCCCCCAAUUUUUUUGUGGUUGACCUCGGAUCAGGUAGGAAUACCCGCUGAACUUAA